rnacentral:rRNA from 1 species
AGUGAACGCUGGCGGUAGGCCUAACACAUGCAAGUCGAACGGCAGCACAGUAAGAGCUUGCUCUUACGGGUGGCGGGUGGCGGACGGGUGAGGAAUACAUCGGAAUCUACUUUUUCGUGGGGGAUAACGUAGGGAAACUUACGCUAAUACCGCAUACGACCUACGGGUGAAAGCAGGGGAUCUUCGGACCUUGCGCGAUUGAAUGAGCCGAUGUCGGAUUAGCUAGUUGGCGGGGUAAAGGCCCACCAAGGCGACGAUCCGUAGCUGGUCUGAGAGGAUGAUCAGCCACACUGGAACUGAGACACGGUCCAGACUCCUACGGGAGGAAGCAGUGGGGAAUAUUGGACAAUGGGCGCAAGCCUGAUCCAGCCAUAUCGCGUGGGUGAAGAAGGCCUUCGGGUUGUAAAGCCCUUUUGUUGGGAAAGAAAAGCAGCAGGUUAAUACCCCGCUGUUCUGACGGUACCCAAAGAAUAAGCACCGGCUAACUUCGU